GACGAACGCUGGCGGCGUGCUUAACACAUGCAAGUCGAACGAUGAGGUUCCUUCGGGAAUGGAUUAGUGGCGAACGGGUGAGAAACACGUGAGAAACCUGCCUUUCAUUUUGGGAUAGCUCCGGGAAACCGGAGCUAACACCGAAUACUCCGUCUCGGCGGCAUCGCUGAGCCGGGAAAAAAUUUUGAUGAAAGAUGGUCUCGCGGCCUAUCAGCUAGUUGGUGAGGUAAUGGCUCACCAAGGCGACGACGGGUAGCCGGCCUGAGAGGGCGACCGGCCACACUGGGACUGAGACACGGCCCAGACUCCUACGGGAGGCAGUAGUGGGGAAUAUUGGGCAAUGGGCGCAAGCCUGACCCAGCGACGCCGCGUGAGGGAUGAAGGCCUUCGGGUUGUAAACCUCUUUCAGUAGGGAAGAAGCGAAAGUGACGGUACCUAAAGAAGAAGCACCGGCUAACUAUGUGCCAGCCGCCGCAGUAA
rnacentral:rRNA from 1 species